rnacentral:rRNA from 1 species
GUAAGGAAUAUUGGUCAAUGGGCGGAAGCCUGAACCAGCCAUGCCGCGUGCAGGAAGACGGCCCUACGGGUUGUAAACUGCUUUUAUACGGGAAUAAACCUUAGUAUGUAUACUAAGCUGAAUGUACUGUAAGAAUAAGGAUCGGCUAACUCCGUGCCAGCAGCCGCGGUAAUACGGAGGAUCCAAGCGUUAUCCGGAUUUAUUGGGUUUAAAGGGUGCGUAGGUGGUUCAUUAAGUCAGGGGUGAAAGACGGCAGCUUAACUGUCGCAGUGCCUUUGAUACUGAUGAACUUGAAUGAACUAGAGGUAGGCGGAAUGUGACAAGUAGCGGUGAAAUGCAUAGAUAUGUCACAGAACACCAAUUGCGAAGGCAGCUUACUAUGGUUUGAUUGACACUGAGGCACGAAAGCGUGGGGAUCAAACAGGAUUAGAUACCCCAGUAGUCC